UACGUAGGGUGCGAGCGUUGUCCGGAAUUAUUGGGCGUAAAGAGCUUGUAGGCGGUCUGUCGCGUCUGCUGUGAAAAUCCGGGGCUCAACCCCGGACUUGCAGUGGGUACGGGCAGACUAGAGUGUGGUAGGGGAGAUUGGAAUUCCUGGUGUAGCGGUGAAAUGCGCAGAUAUCAGGAGGAACACCGAUGGCGAAGGCAGGUCUCUGGGCCACUACUGACGCUGAGAAGCGAAAGCAUGGGGAGCGAACAGG
rnacentral:rRNA from 1 species